GCCCUUGUGGUCUAAUGGAUAAGGCUCAAGUUUUCUAAACUUGUAGAUGCGGGUUCGAUUCCUGUCAGGGGUA
rnacentral:tRNA from 1 species